UACGUAGGGGGCUAGCGUUAUCCGGAAUUACUGGGCGUAAAGGGUGCGUAGGUGGUUUCUUAGGUCAGAGGUGAAAGGCUACGGCUCAACCGUAGUAAGCCUUUGAAACUGGGAAACUUGAGUGCAGGAGAGGAGAGUGGAAUUCCUAGUGUAGCGGUGAAAUGCGUAGAUAUUAGGAGGAACACCAGUUGCGAAGGCGGCUCUCUGGACUGUAACUGACACUGAGGCACGAAAGCGUGGGGAGCAAACAGG
rnacentral:rRNA from 1 species